rnacentral:rRNA from 1 species
GUUUCCCUACGGGGCGCAGCAGUGGGGAAUAUUGCACAAUGGGGGAAACCCUGAUGCAGCGACGCCGCGUGAAGGAAGAAGUAUUUCGGUAUGUAAACUUCUAUCAGCAGGGAAGAAAAUGACGGUACCUGACUAAGAAGCCCCGGCUAACUACGUGCCAGCAGCCGCGGUAAUACGUAGGGGGCAAGCGUUAUCCGGAUUUACUGGGUGUAAAGGGAGCGUAGACGGCAGCGCAAGUCUGGAGUGAAAUGCCGGGGCCCAACCCCGGAACUGCUCUGGAAACUGUGAAGCUGGAGUGCAGGAGG